GGGUCCUGCACCAAACUUCCUUACAAGAUGGUGCUACCAUUUCUUGUGCCAUGGGGAGAUGGACAAGGAUGUUGGUGUACUCGAAGUCACUGAUCAGGAUAUUAAAAAUCUGAUGACAGAGGUGGAAAAUGCAGAAGGUGGAGAAAGGCUGAUAGACUUAUCAGAUGCGAUUGUGACAUGUGGCUACACUGGGCUAAUAAAUGUUGACCAAAAAAAGGCCAUCACAGAUGCCAUCGCUUUGCAUGCACUGGUGAGGCUGAUCCCGAUCUUGAACCAGCUGCGUGAGGGAUUGAGGCUCUACGGAUUAGAUGAGGUGUUAGCACAGCACACCCAGAUGUGACAGCAGCUCUUUGUCCCCGGCCACUUACAGGAAGUGAAUGUAGACUUCCUUUCGCUUGCGCUUAUCUCCU